rnacentral:lncRNA from 10 species
AGGAAACUCACUAGAGUGAGGAAUGGCUCCCCAGAGGAAAGGGCCAGAAGGUUUUCACCAGCGCGGUGAGUGGCGAGGAUUUCAGGAAGAUUGGAAUUGAGGAGGAAGCCAUUUGCCUGCCUACAACCUCCUGUAUCCCCUUGUUGGUGACAGAACAAAAGAUAAAGCAGUCAGCAUUACCUGAAGUGACUUGGAGGUGAUUAAUACUCAGAGCUCCUGGAGCAGAAAGGUGGGCAUGCAAGUUGCAAUUAAGAUGAUAAAGAACGCAGCUUAGCAGCAAGCUGGGGUGCGAGGCUGGUGAGGAGGAGAGCUACUGCCUGUCUCUUGCUCUGCAGAGACUGCUUCUGAGAUACACGCACGGGGUUUAUGAUGCUGCCAGGCUCAUCAGGAGAGAGAAGAAAGAGCUCUGUAAUCACACAGUCGUGUGCAUCCAUCCCCAGCUGUCAACAGGAUCUUCUGAGUAAAACACAGCUAAAUAAAUCUCUGCAAUGAGGAAGGACCGCAAUCAAAGCUACCUUCCAUUAGAGCUACCUGCCAAAUUUUGGAUGGCAGCACCCCAAGAUGAAAGGAGCUUGGAUCCCCAAGUCAUUAUUUGGAGGAGAGCCUCUGCAAAGAACUGCCUGCUGUGCACUGGACUGUGAGAGAACUUAAAGGAGGAGAUAUGGAGAGGGAAAGAGAAAAUUCUUCAUUCUUACUGUGCCUGCCAUGCUGCGAGUAAUGGAGACACUGAGGCACCCAAGAGACAAAACUAGAGUUCCCAUCAGCUGCUCAGCCCCUCUCAGAACUUUGAGAAGGAAACAAGAUGGAAGCUCCUCCACCUUGGAUUAAUUUGCUCAAGGUGUUCUCCUAAGAUUAUGACUUAUACUCCUUGGAAAUUUGUGUAAUUGAUGCCUUUGGAAAAUAUGUCCAAGACUCACCUUUCACUCUGUUCCGGAAUGAAGGCUGAAUCCAGAGAAGCUCACCCUGCUCCCUUCUCCAACGUGACACAGAAUAAAGAGGGUCAGAGUACAGGUCUUUUAUUGUUUUAACCUGAACCCUGGAAGCCAAAGCCUGCACAGGCUUAUCUUCCACAAGUAUGGGUCAAUCACUUUGACCUAUUGACUCUGCAUCUGGUCAAGCACUCCAGAACGCCAUGGACAGCUAUAGGAUUCCCCAAUGAGCAAAUGUUGACUUACCCUGUGGGUCUCCUGACACUAUUAUAAAGUCUAUUCCAUCAGAGACUAAGUUGUUAAAAAAAUGAAGAACUUGGUUUUAGUUUAUUGUCUGUUGUUCAAGGAGUAUUUAUGCAAAAUUGCAAUAUUACUACUCCACAUGAACCAAUCAAUAUACUGCCACUUUCAAAAGUUAAAAGUGGGAAAAAAGAUGGUCUUUGUUUUAGAAUGUGCUAAUAUCUUAUUCUUUUCUUUCAAUUUUCUGUUAUAUGCUUAAGAAGCUCUUGUACUCUCCCUUAAUUUUGCUAUAAAAUAUUCUUUACAUUAAAUAUUAUAACAAAGACAAAAAUUAAUUUGGUCUGCAUAAUACCUUCUCUCUCAACCUAAGUGUCCCUCAACAGAUGAUUGGAUAAAGAAAAUGUGAUAUAUAUAUGUAUAUAUAUAAAUAUAUGUAUAUUUGACUUUCAAUGUCCUUGUUAUGCAUACACACACACACUCACACAAACAAACCAUGGAGUACUACUCAGCCAUAAAAAAGAAUGAAAUCAUGCCUUUUGCAGUAACACAGGUAGAACUGGAGGACAUUAUCCUAAGUGAAAUGACUCAGAAACAGAAAGUCAAACACUGUGUGUUCUUACUUAUAAAUAGGAGCUAAAUAAUGUUUACAGAUGAACAUGGAGUACAGAAUAAUAGUUACUGGAGACUCUGAAAGGUGGGAGGGUCGGGGGGUGAGGGAAGAGAAAUUACUUAAUGGGUACAGUGUACAUUAUUCAGGUGAAGGUUACAGUGAAAGCCCAGACUUCAUCACUACAUAAUAUAUCCAUGUAACAAAACUACACUUGUACUUUUUACAUUUAUACAAAUUAAAAAAAAGAUUUCAAAUGAUUUUUAAAUGAAUUACAUAUAUACCCUAACUUGUUUAUUUUCUUUUUCCUUCCAAUGUUUGAAAAAAUGUUUUUGUAUAAUACAAACACAUUUCCAACAUUAAAUAUCCUUAAAACUUUAAAGUUGAAGACAAAAAUAUAAUAACGAUAAGCAAAGACAAUGUUUGAUCCAAAUAACACAUAUUACAUCUUUUAAAUGAAGGUGUUUUUCAUUCUGAUUUGUGCAACUGGUUUACUAGGUUUUCCAGUAUUUCUGCCGCUUGACUGUAUCUGCUGACUAAAGUUAAUUCUGUUAAUGGUUAUUAUCCUAUAGGUUUUUUUUUUUUGUAGUUUCUAAAUUGGUUUAAUUUGGAGAAAGAACAUUUGCUGUAGAUAAAAUAACAAUGAAAGAACAUAUUUUAGUAAAACUUACGUACAUGCCACUCUAUGUUAUAAUAAAUGUUUCAUCUGAUUUUCAGAUUGUUGUAAUCUUUUCACUAUCACUUGUUCAUGAGUUUAUGCAAAGCAGUAAUACUUUGAUAAAUGAUUCUUUACACACUCGAAAAUUUUUUGUGCCUUCGGAGUGUUUAUCAUAAUGAAACUUUUAAAUAACUAUUUUAUUAAAGGCGAAUUCAACUGAAGAAUAGUUUUGCUUAUGUUGAGUUGCAUUUUGCAAUAUUGUCAUGAUAAUGACUUGAUGAGGCUUUGCUUUUCUGAUUAUUUUGAAUUAGAAAAUAUUUGCUUAUGUUUUCAAAAAGUUUUAAACUGCCCCUGAAUCACUCUCUUUUAAUAAAGUUUUUAAAAGCUGUUUUUAUUAAAGUAUGGUCCAUACAGAAAAUGCACAAAUCGUAAGAGUACAGCUCAGUGAAUUAUAACAAAUUGAAUGCCCCAAUGAACAACCAUGAAGGUCAAGGUAAAAAAUAUUACCAGCACACCCAAAUUUCUCAUCGUGCCCAUUCCAAUGACUACAUUCUCUUUCCUCAAAACUUCCCCUCUUCUGAAAAAACAAAACAAAACAACAACAACAAAAACCCACAACUGUCCUGACUUGUAACACUUUAGUUUUUUCUGUCUGUAUUUUAUAUGAAUGGAAUCAUACUAUAUAAUCUCUUUCAUGCCUGACUUCUUCACUGGACCUAAUGUUUGUAAAAUGCAUUUGUAUCACGAGUGUAGGUAAUUGCAUUUAUUAUCUUUAUUUUAAUUUCAUUGUAUGACUGUACCACAAGUAAGCUAUCUAUUCUACUAUUGAUAGACGUUUUGGUUAUUUUCAGGUUGGGGCUUGUGAUGGUUAAUUUUAUGUGUCAACUUGACUGAGCUAUAGAGUACCCAGAUAUUUUGUUAAACACUAUUCUGGGCAUUCCUGGAUGAGAUUUACAUUGCAUCAUUAGGCUGAGUAAAGCAGAUUGCCCUCCCUAAUGUGGGUGGCCCUCAUGUAAUCAGUUGAAGGCCUGAAUAGAAAAAAAAGGCUGAUCCUCCCCUGGCUAAGUGAUAAUUCCUCCUGCCUACUGGUCUUCAAAUUGAGAGGUUGGCUUUUUCCUGCCUUUGGACUUGAACUGAAACAUCGACUCUUCCUGGGUCUUGAGCCUGCCAACCUUUUAAGUGGAACUGCACCAUUGGCUCUCUGGGUCUCAGGCCUUCAGACUCAGACUGGAACUUGCACCAUUGGCUCUCCUGAGUCUCCAGCUUGCCUAGGGCGGAUUUAGGACUUGUCAGCCUCCAUAAUUGCAUGAGCCAAUUUCUUAUAAUAAAACUCCUUCUAUAUAUACAAAUCCUAUUGGUUCUAUUUCUCUGGGGAACUCUGACUAAUUCAGGGCUCUUAUUAAUAAUAGUACUGUGAGCAUUUUUUUUUUUUUCCAGACAGAGUCUCACUUUGUUGCAUAGGCUGGAGUACAAUGGUGUGACCUUGGCUCACUGCAACCUCCGCUUCCCGGGUUCAAGCAAUCCUCCCACCUCAGCCUCCUGAGUAGCUGGGACUACAGGAGCAUGCCAGCACACCUGGCUAAUUUUUAUAUUUUUAGCAGAAAUGGUUUUUCACCAGGUUGGCCAGGUUGGUCUCAGACUCCUGACCUCAGAUGAUCCACCCAACUUGGCCUCCCAGAGUGCUGGGAUUACAGGUGUGAGCCACCACGUCCAGCCCUGUGAGCAUUUUUGAACCUGUCUUUUGGUGUAUUUGAGGCAUUUUUCUUAGCUAUAUAUCUAGGAGGGGAAUAUCUAGGUUAAAAGGUAAGCAUAAGUUUGACUUUAAUAGAUACUAACAGUUUUCCAAAGUGGUUACACCAGCUCUUUUACCAUCUCCACCUUGCUCACCAGGAGAGUACGAGCGUCUUCCUUGCUCCACAUUCAGACCAGCUUUGUGUUGGUUUGGUUUGUCAGUCUUUCAAGUUUUAUCCAUUCUGUGAGGUGUGUACAGGUAUUGCAUUUUGAGUUUAAUUUGCAUUUGUCUGGUGACUAAUGAGGUUGAGACAUUUGUCUAUCUCCUGUGAAGUGUCUGUUCAAAUCUCAUUUUCUGUUGGAUUAUCUUUA